UACCAGCACCUCAAGUGGUCAGGAGGAUUAUUGGGCCUAAAGCAUCCGUAGCCGGCUCUGUAAGUUUUCGGUUAAAUCCAUGUGCUCAACGCAUGGGCUGCCGAAAAUACUGCAUAGCUAGGGAGUGGGAGAGGUAGACGGUACUCGGUAGGAAGGGGUAAAAUCCUUUGAUCUAUCGAUGACCACCUGUGGCGAAGGCGGUCUACCAGAACACGUUCGACGGUGAGGGAUGAAAGCUGGGGGAGCAAACCGG
rnacentral:rRNA from 1 species